rnacentral:lncRNA from 10 species
AGCAGGAGUAACAAAUUAGCCACAGGAUUAAAAAUUAUGGUUUUAAGAGUCGCUGUUGUAAAAGUUGAGAUCGGUGCUUGAGAUAUUUUGCAGACGCUGCAUUCCAAUGCAUCAGCUGACGCCACCCAGAUUGAUAAACUGUCUCAUCUGGCUUUGUGGCUGCCACUCAGGAACCGACUCAGCACCAAGAGGACAGCUUCCACUCCCUAUGAUUUCAUCUCUGACCUGACCAAUCAGCACUCCCCACUUUCUGACCCCCUACCCACCAAAUUAUCCUUAAAAACCCCGAUCCCUGAAUUUUUGGAAGACUGAUUUGACUAAUAAUAAAACUCCGGUCUCCCGUACCACUCUGGUCUCCCAUGCAGCCAACUCUGCGUGAAUUAAACUCUUUGUCUAUUACAAUUUCCCUGUCUUGGUAACUUGGCUCUGUCUAGACAGUGGGCAAGGAGAACCCAUUGGGCAGUUACAGCAGGACAUACCCCCAGGCCCCCAACGAAGAAUUAUCUGUCCCCAAAUGUCAAUAGUGCCAAGGGUGAGAAACUCAGGAUUAUAGUAUCAUUGAUAUCAUAUAAUUGAAAAUGUUAAUUACUGUUUAUUGUGGGCAAUGUCAUUGAGACAGGUCCCAUUCUCCUGAUCUCUGUGAAGUGUGAUGCCACUGCCCUCUGAAACAGCCCUGAGGAGAAGGUUCCGGAACUCCAUAGGGAAAUCAAAGACUUCAGCCUUGUAACUUAUUUAUCCUACAAAGAUGAUAUCCCACGUGGCCCCAGGGUAUAUACACAUCAUGGAGCUAUAAAAUGAAAGUUAAUUCCUCCCUGUCCAGCACUGUGGUAUCCACAGGCUGGUCUGCAUGGCAGACACAAGCAGCAGGCCAUCAUAUUGGGAACUGCUCUACAGAAAGGCUCAUGCAGCAAGAAACAGAGGGUGUCUUCUGGCCAAUAGCUAGCUAGGAAUGGAGCCCUCAGUCCAACAGGCUUUGAGGAAGCGAAUCCUGCCCACAACCACUUGCAUGAACUUGGAAGUGUCUUCUCCCCCAGCUUAGCCUUGAGAUGAUUAUAGCCCCUGCUCAACACCUUGAUUCCAGCCUUGAUUCCGUACAGACCUUAAGAGACCUGAGCCAGAGGACCCAGCUAAGCCACUCCCAGAUUCCUGUCCCAUAGAAACUGUGAGGUAGUUUGUGCUGGAAAGAAAUUUCUAUGUUUUUGUGACAAGAGGAGACAAGACCCUACAAAAAGAAGGCAUGAUA